UACAGAGGGUGCGAGCGUUGUCCGGAAUCACUGGGCGUAAAGGGCGCGUAGGCGGCCUGGCAAGUCUGUGGUGAAAGCUCGUGGCUCAACUGCGAGUCGGCCAUAGAUACUGCGAGGCUCGAGUCGACUAGAGGCAGAUGGAAUUCCGGGUGUAGCGGUGGAAUGCGUAGAGAUCCGGAAGAACACCGGUGGCGAAGGCGGCCUGCUGGGCAGUGGCUGAC
rnacentral:rRNA from 1 species